rnacentral:rRNA from 1 species
UCGAGAAUCUUUCACAAUGGGGGAAACCCUGAUGGAGUGACGCCGCGUGGAGGAUAAGGUCUUCGGAUUGUAAACUCCUGUCAUGCGGGAACAAAGCCCUCGCGGGUGUGAUAGUACCGCAAGAGGAAGAGACGGCUAACUCUGUGCCAGCAGCCGCGGUAAUACAGAGGUCUCAAGCGUUGUUCGGAAUUACUGGGCGUAAAGGGUGCGCAGGCCGCGCGGGAAGUCAAAUGUGAAAUUCAGGGGCUCAACCCCUGCAUUGCGCUUGAUACUUCCGCGCUCGAGCCUUGGAAAGGAGUCUGGAAUUCUCGGUGUAGCAGUGAAAUGCGUAGAUAUCGAGAGGAACACUAAGGGCGAAGGCAAGACUCUGGACAAGUGCUGACGCUCAUGCACGAAGGCUAGGGUAGCGAACGG